rfam:Brachypodium distachyon strain Bd21 chromosome 3, whole genome shotgun sequence.
AUUAUACUCCCUCCGUUCAACAAAAGAUGUCUCAAGUUUGUUAAAAUUUAAAUGUAUCUAAACAUAACUUAGUGUAUAAGUACAUUCAAAUUUAGUCAAAGUUAAGACAUUCUUUGUUGGACGGAGAAAGUAUUAC